AAUUUUUCUCAUUUUAAUCACAGAAACCUGAGACUUCAUUUUUAUCUGUGACCCUAAUCAUCUUCCAUAGACUUCAUGGCCGUCUCGAUCCAGGCGUGGGGGAAGGCCGUGUGCUCUCCGGCAAAGUGAACUCUGCCUUCGCUCCUGAAGAGCUCCGCUGCGAACUCCAGGUGCUGGACUCCGGUGCAGAGCGACCUGACCCUGUCACCGUGCAACAGGACCAGAUCUCUGAGAGCCAGCUCCUUCAGCUCUUCGUCGCUGGCGCCG